rnacentral:rRNA from 1 species
UACGAAGGGGGCUAGCGUUGCUCGGAAUCACUGGGCGUAAAGGGUGCGUAGGCGGGGCUUUAAGUCAGGGGUGAAAUCCUGGAGUUCAACUCCAGAACUGCCUUUGAUACUGAGGAUCUUGAGUUCGGGAGAGGUGAGUGGAACUGCGAGUGUAGAGGUGAAAUUCGUAGAUAUUCGCAAGAACACCAGUGGCGAAGGCGGCCAACUGGUCCGGUACUGACGCUGAGGUGCGAAAGCGUGGGGAGCAAACAGG